rnacentral:rRNA from 1 species
UACAGAGGGGGCAAGCGUUGUUCGGAAUUACUGGGCGUAAAGGGCGCGUAGGCGGCCCGCUAAGUCGAACGUGAAAUCCCCGAGCUCAACUCGGGAACUGCGUCCGAUACUGGUGGGCUUGAAUCCGGGAGAGGGAUGCGGAAUUCCAGGUGUAGCGGUGAAAUGCGUAGAUAUCUGGAGGAACACCGGUGGCGAAGGCGGCAUCCUGGACCGGCAUUGACGCUGAGGAGCGAAAGCGUGGGGAGCGAACAGG